AGAGUUUGAUCAUGGCUCAGAUUGAACGCUGGCGGCAUGCCUUACACAUGCAAGUCGAACGGCAGCACGGGGGCAACCCUGGUGGCGAGUGGCGAACGGGUGAGUAACACAUCGGAACGUACCCAGUUGUGGGGGAUAACCAGUCGAAAGACGGGCUAAUACCGCAUGAUCUGGCGACAGCAAAGCGGGGGAUCGGUAACGACCUCGCGCGAUUGGAGCGGCCGAUGUCCGAUUAGCUAGUUGGUGGGGUAAAGGCCCACCAAGGCUUUGAUCGGUAGCUGGUCUGAGAGGAUGAUCAGCCACACUGGGACUGAGACACGGCCCAGACUCCUACGGGAGGCAGCAGUGGGGAAUUUUGGACAAUGGGGGCAACCCUGAUCCAGCCAUGCCGCGUGAGUGAAGAAGGCCUUCGGGUUGUAAAGCUCUUUCGGUAGGAACGAAACGGUUACGGCUAAUACCUGUGACUAAUGACGGUACUUACAGAAGAAGCACCGGCUAACUACGUGCCAGCAGCCGCGGUAAUACGUAGGGUGCGAGCGUUAAUCGGAAUUACUGGGCGUAAAGGGUGCGCAGGCGGUCUCGUAAGCUGGGUGUGAAAGCCCCGGGCUUAACCUGGGAAUGGCAUUCAGGACUGCGAGGCUUUGAGUGUGGCAGAGGGAGGUGGAAUUCCCGUGUAGCAGUGAAAUGCGUAGAGAUGUGGAGGAACACCGAUGGCGAAGGCAGCCUCCUGGGCCAGCACUGACGCUCAUGCACGAAAGCGUGGGGAGCAAACAGGAUUAGAUACCCUAGUAGUCC
rnacentral:rRNA from 1 species